rnacentral:rRNA from 1 species
AUUGAACGCUGGCGGCAUGCCUUACACAUGCAAGUCGAACGGUAACGCGGGGCAACCUGGCGACGAGUGGCGAACGGGUGAGUAAUAUAUCGGAACGUGCCCAGUUGUGGGGGAUAACUGCUCGAAAGAGCAGCUAAUACCGCAUACGACCUGAGGGUGAAAGCGGGGGAUCGCAAGACCUCGCGCAAUUGGAGCGGCCGAUAUCAGAUUAGGUAGUUGGUGGGGUAAAGGCCUACCAAGCCGACGAUCUGUAGCUGGUCUGAGAGGACGACCAGCCACACUGGGACUGAGACACGGCCCAGACUCCUACGGGAGGCAGCAGUGGGGAAUUUUGGACAAUGGGGGCAACCCUGAUCCAGCCAUGCCGCGUGCGGGAAGAAGGCCUUCGGGUUGUAAACCGCUUUUGUCAGGGAAGAAAUCCUUUGGGUUAAUACCUCGGAGGGACGACGGUACCUGAAGAAUAAGCACCGGCUAACUACGUGCCAGCAGCCGCGGUAACAC